rnacentral:rRNA from 1 species
AGAGUUUGAUCCUGGCUCAGGACGAACGCUGGCGGCGUGCCUAAUACAUGCAAGUCGAGCGGACAGAUGGGAGCUUGCUCCCUGAUGUUAGCGGCGGACGGGUGAGUAACACGUGGGUAACCUGCCUGUAAGACUGGGAUAACUCCGGGAACCGGGGCUAAUACCGGAUGGUUGUUUGAACCGCAUGGUUCAAACAUAAAAGGUGGCUUCGGCUACCACUUACAGAUGGACCCGCGGCGCAUUAGCUAGUUGGUGAGGUAACGGCUCACCAAGGCAACGAUGCGUAGCCGACCUGAGAGGGUGAUCGGCCACACUGGGACUGAGACACGGCCCAGACUCUUACGGGAGGCAGCAGUAGGGAAUCUUCCGCAAUGGACGAAAGUCUGACGGAGCAACGCCGCGUGAGUGAUGAAGGUUUUCGGAUCGUAAAGCUCUGUUGUUAGGGAAGAACAAGUACCGUUCGAAUAGGGCGGUACCUUGACGGUACCUAACCAGAAAGCCACGGCUAACUACGUGCCAGCAGCCGCGGUAAUACGUAGGUGGCAAGCGUUGUCCGGAAUUAUUGGGCGUAAAGGGCUCGCAGGCGGUUUCUUAAGUCUGAUGUGAAAGCCCCCGGCUCAACCGGGGAGGGUCAUUGGAAACUGGGGAACUUGAGUGCAGAAGAGGAGAGUGGAAUUCCACGUGUAGCGGUGAAAUGCGUAGAGAUGUGGAGGAACACCAGUGGCGAAGGCGACUCUCUGGUCUGUAACUGACGCUGAGGAGCGAAAGCGUGGGGAGCGAACAGGAUUAGAUACCCUGGUAGUCCACGCCGUAAACGAUGAGUGCUAAGUGUUAGGGGGUUUCCGCCCCUUAGUGCUGCAGCUAACGCAUUAAGCACUCCGCCUGGGGAGUACGGUCGCAAGACUGAAACUCAAAGGAAUUGACGGGGGCCCGCACAGCGGUGGAGCAUGUGGUUUAAUUCGAAGCAACGCGAAGAACCUUACCAGGUCUUGACAUCCUCUGACAAUCCUAGAGAUAGGACGUCCCCUUCGGGGGCAGAGUGACAGGUGUUGCAUGGUUGUCGUCAGCUCGUGUCGUGAGAUGUUGGGUUAAGUCCCGCAACGAGCGCAACCCUUGAUCUUAGUUGCCAGCAUUCAGUUGGGCACUCUAAGGUGACUGCCGGUGACAAACCGGAGGAAGGUGGGGAUGACGUCAAAUCAUCAUGCCCCUUAUGACCUGGGCUACACACGUGCUACAAUGGACAGAACAAAGGGCAGCGAAACCGCGAGGUUAAGCCAAUCCCACAAAUCUGUUCUCAGUUCGGAUCGCAGUCUGCAACUCGACUGCGUGAAGCUGGAAUCGCUAGUAAUCGCGGAUCAGCAUGCCGCGGUGAAUACGUUCCCGGGCCUUGUACACACCGCCCGUCACACCACGAGAGUUUGUAACACCCGAAGUCGGCGAGGUAACCUUUUAGGAGCCAGCCGCCGAAGGUGGGACAGAUGAUCGGGGUGAAGUCGUAACAAGGUA